GAAUCGUUGGGCUUGUACCUGCAACUGAAGCCGAUCGCUUCUUCUUCUUCCAUCCAUGGCGGAAGCCCAGAGCGAAAAAACCCCUUCCUUAGCUGAGCAAUAUGCCUUGAAAGAAAAUGAGAAUGUGGAUAUACCAAAGUCCUCUGAAGUAAAAGAGGUGGAGAACCCUGAAAAUGCUGCUCCUGCUGAAGUUGUUGUGAAGAAUGAUGAACCACCUGUUGAAGCUGAUGCUGAUCAAGGGAGUGACAAUUCUCCUGCUCAAGAAAACAAUGGAGAUGCUCCAGCAGCUGCUGCUGUAGAGGAUGUUGAAACCAGUCCUGCUGCUGAAAAUGACACUGGAGCUGCCGAUGAAAGUAGUGGAGCUGGAGAAGAGGAAAAUUCUGGGGAUCAAGAAAGCACUGAUGAGCAACCUGAGAUUAAGCUCGAAACAGCACCAGUAGAUUUCCGUUUCCCUACUACAAAUCAAACUAGGCAUUGCUUCACCCGCUACAUUGAGUACCAUAGAUGCAUACAAGCGAAAGGGGAAGGUGCUCCGGAGUGCAACAAGUUUGCGAAAUAUUAUCGUUCUCUUUGCCCAAGUGAAUGGGUAGAGAAGUGGAACGAGCAGAGGGAGAAUGGAACCUUCCCAGGUCCGCUGUAGGAGUAAAAAUUUAGCAGGCAGUUUGCCACACGCUGCCGUACCAAGGCAAAUAAACUCUGGG
rnacentral:misc_RNA from 1 species